GAAAGCGACGUUCAACCGCAAAAGAAGCAGAGGGGGCUUAGUGGUGGGGUGACUGCGUACCUUUUGUAUAAUGGGUCAGCGACUUAUAUUCUGUAGCAAGGUUAACCGAAUAGGGGAGCCGGAGGGAAACCGAGUCUUAACCGGGCGUUAAGUUGCAGGGUAUAGACCCGAAACCCGGUGAUCUAGCCAUGGGCAGGUUGAAGGUUGGGUAACACUAACUGGAGGACCGAACCGACUAAUGUUGAAAAAUUAGCGGAUGACCUGUGGCUGGGGGUGAAAGGCCAAUCAAACCGGGAGAUAGCUGGUUCUCCCCGAAAGCUAUUUAGGUAGCGCCUCGUGAAUUCAUCUCCGGGGGUAGAGCACUGUUUCGGCUAGGGGGCCAUCCCGGCUUACCAACCCGAUGCAAACUGCGAAUACCGGAGAAUGUUAUCACGGGAGACACACGGCGGGUGCUAACGUCCGUCGUGAAGAGGGAAACAACCCAGACCGCCAGCUAAGGUCCCAAAGUCAUGGUUAAGUGGGAAACGAUGUGGGAAGGCCCAGACAGCCAGGAUGUUGGCUUAGAAGCAGCCAUCAUUUAAAGAAAGCGUAAUAGCUCACUGGUCGAGUCGGCCUGCGCGGAAGAUGUAACGGGGCUAAACCAUGCACCGAAGCUGCGGCAGCGAACGUAUCACUUAAAGCGAUUCAGCGGGUUACGAUUGACGGAGCGA
rnacentral:rRNA from 1 species